rnacentral:rRNA from 1 species
AGAGUUUGAUCCUGGCUCAGAUUGAACGCUGGCGGCAUGCCUAACACAUGCAAGUCGAACGAGAUCACCUCGGUGGUCUAGUGGCGGACGGGUGAGUAACACAUGGGAAUCUGCCUUUUAGUGGGGGAUAACGUAGGGAAACUUACGCUAAUACCGCAUACGCUCUACGGAGGAAAGGGGGGGAUCGCAAGACCUCUCGCUAAAAGAUGAGCCCAUGUCUGAUUAGCUAGUUGGUGGGGUAAAGGCCUACCAAGGCGACGAUCAGUAGCCGGCCUGAGAGGGUGUACGGCCACACUGGGACUGAGACACGGCCCAGACUCCUACGGGAGGCAGCAGUGGGGAAUUUUGGACAAUGGGGGCAACCCUGAUCCAGCCAUUCCGCGUGAGUGAAGAAGGCCUUCGGGUUGUAAAGCUCUUUCAGCAGGAACGAAACGGUACGCUCUAACAUAGCGUGCUAAUGACGGUACCUGCAGAAGAAGCACCGGCUAACUACGUGCCAGCAGCCGCGGUAAUACGUAGGGUGCGAGCGUUAAUCGGAAUUACUGGGCGUAAAGCGUGCGCAGGCGGAUUGUUAAGCAAGACGUGAAAUCCCCGGGCUUAACCUGGGAAUGGCGUUUUGAACUGGCAGUCUAGAGUGUGUCAGAGGGGGGUAGAAUUCCACGUGUAGCAGUGAAAUGCGUAGAGAUGUGGAGGAAUACCGAUGGCGAAGGCAGCCCCCUGGGAUAACACUGACGCUCAUGUACGAAAGCGUGGGUAGCAAACAGGAUUAGAUACCCUGGUAGUCCACGCCCUAAACGAUGUCAACUGGUUGUUGGGGGAGUGAAAUCCCUUAGUAACGAAGCUAACGCGUGAAGUUGACCGCCUGGGGAGUACGGUCGCAAGAUUAAAACUCAAAGGAAUUGACGGGGACCCGCACAAGCGGUGGAUGAUGUGGAUUAAUUCGAUGCAACGCGAAAAACCUUACCUACCCUUGACAUGUCCGGAAUCCUGCAGAGAUGCGGGAGUGCCCGAAAGGGAAUCGGAACACAGGUGCUGCAUGGCUGUCGUCAGCUCGUGUCGUGAGAUGUUGGGUUAAGUCCCGCAACGAGCGCAACCCUUAUCAUUAGUUGCUACGCAAGGGCACUCUAAUGAGACUGCCGGUGACAAACCGGAGGAAGGUGGGGAUGACGUCAAGUCCUCAUGGCCCUUAUGGGUAGGGCUUCACACGUCAUACAAUGGUCGGUACAGAGGGUUGCCAAGCCGCGAGGUGGAGCCAAUCCCAGAAAGCCGAUCGUAGUCCGGAUUGUUCUCUGCGACUCGAGAGCAUGAAGUCGGAAUCGCUAGUAAUCGCGGAUCAGCAUGUCGCGGUGAAUACGUUCCCGGGUCUUGUACACACCGCCCGUCACACCAUGGGAGUGGAAUCUGCCAGAAGUAGGUAGCCUAACCGCAAGGAGGGCGCUUACCACGGUGGGUUUCAUGACUGGGGUGAAGUCGUAACAAGGUAACC